GACGAACGCUGGCGGCGUGCUUAACACAUGCAAGUCGAACGGUAAGGCCCUUCGGGUACACGAGUGGCGAACGGGUGAGUAACACGUGGGUGAUCUGCCCUGCACUUCGGGAUAAGCCUGGGAAACUGGGUCUAAUACCGGAUAGGACUCCUGGCUUCAUGGUUGGGGGUGUAAAGCUUUUGCGGUGUGGGAUGGGCCCGCGGCCUAUCAGCUUGUUGGUGGGGUAAUGGCCUACCAAGGCGACGACGGGUAGCCGGCCUGAGAGGGUGACCGGCCACACUGGGACUGAGAUACGGCCCAGACUCCUACGGGAGGCAGCAGUGGGGAAUAUUGCACAAUGGGCGCAAGCCUGAUGCAGCGACGCCGCGUGAGGGAUGACGGCCUCGGUU
rnacentral:rRNA from 1 species